ensembl:lncRNA LINC00343 long intergenic non-protein coding RNA 343
AUGGGAAAGAAACCUGGAAAGGUAGGGAGGUAUGGAUAUGGACAAGCUAUGCCAAGGAGCAGGGCUUUGUCAUGGAGAGUGACUAGGUGCUUUUACAUAGGAAAGUCACCUGAUAAUAUUAAAACCUGUGAAAUAUCACUCUGGUGGAAGUGUGAAUGAAUUUGAAAGGGGUGUAACACUGUUCUACUUUGUUUACUCCUCAGUACCCUUGGCUGUGUACAUUUGAGUAAAGAGAGCACUAUAAAAUCAAAAACCAAUGAAAUGGUUUCCAGAACACAGAACUAUUAAGCUUAAGAAAAGGACAGAAGGAACUGAAGAGAGAGGAACUGUUUUGGAGCAUCACACUUCCACCUCAGAAGAAAUAAGGAAGGAAGGAGGAGGGUGUUCCCACGGCUCUUCAACCAGGCCGGCUCUUCAGCCUACAUCCCCAUCUCAUCAAGUAAAAGGGAUUUUUCAACUGGACCAACCAGAUGGUUUAACAGUGCACUCCCACACCAUUCAACUACGCAAGGGAGAUACACUUAACAUAUGCAGUCGUAUAACACCUACUAACAUUUUCAAACAUUAAACCUUUAAAAAAGAGUUCUAAAGAAAUAGAAGCUUGAAGUAUCAUCUCUCAAGUAUAUAGACACUACUUCAUGGUGUGGUAAUAUAUGCAUAUAGAAGCUAGUAAACACCUCCAGGAGAUGCAAAAGGAAUUAGAACUGCCACAAGGUGCAAGCAAAACCUUGAGCUUCUUUAAAAUAUGAAGACUUCGAAGUUAUUUAUCCAAACCAACCUGAUCAUUUCUUAAGAGUGAAUAUACCUUGGAAGACGUGUCCUGCCUUUAGUAGCGUCACAAUGGAUUACAUCCUCUAUAAAGCAGUCUGGGUUCUGUUUUUCCUCUUCUAAUCCUUCACCCAUCUGAGCUAAAGUCUAGACCUAAGGAGGCUACUAAUUCAGGGAUCGAGUAAUCUGCCAAGCAAGAGUUUAUUCAAGCACAGUUUGAAAUAAAGGUUUCAAAUGCAUAGCCUGUCGAUACUUUGGAAGGAUUCUCAUCAUAACGAGUAUGCAAUUUGCUAUAAAGAAGAAUGCCCAUUACGGACUAAAUGUUUAUGUCCUCCUAAAAUUCAUAUGUUGAAGGCCUAACUCUCAAUGUGAUGAUUAUGUGGAGAUGGUGCCUUUGGGAGGUAACUGGGCUUAGAUGUGGGCGUGAGGGUGGGGCCUCAUGGUGAAAUUUGUGCCCUUGUAAGAAAAACACACCACAGGUUUUCAUUCUUCCUCUGCCACAUGAGGCCACAGUAAGAAUGUGACCAUCUGCUAGCCAGGAGGAAAGUCCUCACUGGAACCCGCCCAUAAUAACACUCCAGUCUGGGGCUUUUCAGCCUCCAGAACCAUGAGAAAUAAAUUUCUAGUGUUUAAGUCA